CAGCCGCCGCGGUAAUAUGAAGGGGGCUAGCGUUGUUCGGAAUUACUGGGCGUAAAGCGCACGUAGGCGGAUAUUUAAGUCAGGGGUGAAAUCCCAGAGCUCAACUCUGGAACUGCCUUUGAUACUGGGUAUCUUGAGUAUGGAAGAGGUGAGUGGAAUUCCGAGUGUAGAGGUGAAAUUCGUAGAUAUUCGGAGGAACACCAGUGGCGAAGGCGGCUCACUGGUCCAUUACUGACGCUGAGGUGCGAAAGCGUGGGGAGCAAACAGGAUUAGAUACCCGUGUAGUCCCUGUCUCUUAUAC
rnacentral:rRNA from 1 species